AACUCUGAAACUUAAUGUGAUAAGAAUGCUGUGUAUCCUAUAAUGUAGUUAUCAUUAGUAAUUUUAAUUUGCAUACAUGUAACGAUAUUUCUUUGAAAACUCAUUUCUUCACUUUAAACGUAUUUGGCAUCAUUAACGUAUUGGAAUUUAAGGCAAUUCGAAAGCUCGAUUGUAAAAUUACGGAGCUCAGUUCAUGAAUUUAAUGCAGUUCGGAAGUUCCAUAACCGAAAAUACAGAAAUAAAGUCCUGGCUGAUGUACAGAGAUGCAUUGACCUUCGACAAAUAAAGCGUCGAUUUGUGUGUGAAGACCAUAGUCCAAGCUUAUGAUACCACGUGACAGGGAAAAGUCUUUGGAUUAGCGAAGAUGUAGCGCAAACUUGAUUAUUAAACUGAGAAAUGGAAGAAAGCUCCAGCGUAAAUUUGUCAUCUUUUCCAUUUGAAUUUCUUGAAGACGCUUGCUAAAGAGGUUUAAAGUAUUAAAGCAUUUCUUGUAUAAUGAAACAGGAAAGACCUCAACAGUGUGAAACAGCGCCGCAAAAACCCAGUUACAGG